UAGAAUAUUGCAUAUAAUAUUUUCGCAAAGAACUGUAAUAAUUUAUUAAAUUUUACGAUGUUUGCACAACGUUAUUAAUAAUAAGAUUAUAAAUGUCGCAAAUAAAAUAAGAAAUAAUUGAAAAGUACAUGAAACGUGGUACAUUCAACAAGUGUGAGAACAAAGAGUAUUUCAAAGUCUGUCAUGUUUGAGGUUUGCAAUAUGUUUGGUCUACUAAAAUACGAAAAUGCGAUUGGCCAAAGUCCACGUGUCACAAAGUAUGCUCUACACGUGCAUCGUAUAGACUAGAGCUACUAGCCUUGCUGAACACGUGCUUUAAAGUUUUAUUUAAAACUUAAACUGCCAAGAAAGCGAAUUCGUACAUUGUAUUUUUUUUACCUGUUAAUUUUGUAUUAUAUACUUAUAAAUUAUUAGUUUAACUGACUUACACAUUGUUCAUACUUGUUGAUAUUGUCAUUAACCAGCGAUUUUUAAUAUAGUUCGUUAGCGCAUUUUAAAUUUCCACAAAAAGCAAAGAAAAGAAUAAAUUGAAAUAAAAAAGAGAAGACGUGAUUAUGGAAGUAAAUAAAUUAGCACAAUUUUCAUAGAUUCAUAGAUUUCAUAGUCAUCAGACAAGUUUGAUAAAGUUUCGAGGGACUAUCCUUUUGUGAUAAUCAUGUUGUCUAUUAACGAAAAAAUAAAACACAAGUUGAAGCUUUACAUCAUGCGAGAAUGCCAACGAAAGAGGCAGCGAGGCAUAUCAUUUCAUCUGACUUUGUGAUUAUGUUACUGCCUUUUAUCAUGUUUUACUUCAAAACAGGAAAUAAAAAAAACGGCAAUUUGCAGUAAACUAUGAGUUAGAGAGAGAAAUCUAUUGUAUGCAAAAAACGAUUUGUGAAUUGCAAAACAAAAAACGUUUGUUAAUUAAAAUGUUCAAGGAAAUAUUAUACGAGGAAGUGGAGGCUAUGAGACGACGCUAUAUGCAAACGAGUAUUCGACGACGGAAAAAGACUGUGUGGAAGAAAAGAACCAUCACAUAUGCCAAUGUAUACAUGCGUGAGUACAGAAAAUGCCCUUUUCUUGAUAAAAACAUUUCUUAAAAUUUUUCAUAUAAUUUUUUAAUAUUUUUUUGUAAAUUUAAAAAUUUUACAGAAUUUCUAUAUAAUUUUAUAUCUUCUCAGUUUUUUUAUACGAAUUGGAACACUAGAGAAAUGUUCAAGAAGUUUUUUCUAGAAUUCUUCCUGUGACUUCUAAGAUA